rnacentral:misc_RNA from 1 species
GGAAGCUUGAGAAUUUACAAGCGGGAAGUCCAAGAGAAGGUUCUUGAUAUUGUUGGCAUUUCCCGAGAGCAGGCUGAAGCAAAAUUUGGCUAUCUUUUGGAGGCUCUGGAUAUGGGUGCUCCUCCACACGGAGGAAUUGCUUAUGGGUUGGAUAGAUUGGUGAUGCUCUUGGCAGGCUCUCAGUCCAUCAGGGAUGUUAUAGCUUUUCCAAAGACAACAACUGCUCAAUGUGCCCUUACUCAUUCACCAUCAGAGGUUGAUCCACAACAGCUUAAAGAUCUUUCGUUGCAGAAGAUAUAGUUUCUUGAUUGAUUUUGGGAAGUAUUAUGUACUGGAGAAGUUGAGAAAAGCACACAAAGGGUAACGGUAGAUUAUCAUCGUGGGAUUGUUUUCCAAGGACAUUGUUAUUUUGACAUAUUGAUAUUGUAGCACCAAUAUAAUUAGGUUCCAGUUUUGCCUUGCUGAGAGUGAAGAGGGGUACUUUAACUUGUGAAAUUAUGAAUGCUUUAAGUUUAUGAACAUACUGAUGAGGGAAAGGAUUCGACCUACAUUCAUUUCAGUCAUCUGUUUUUU